AUGGAAGAAUUUAAAUAAACUAUAAAAUCAACCAAUGGUGUGAAAUGAAAUAAAAGGUGCCAAGCAGCAAAUAACAAAUGUCAGUCAACAUUAGCUAGAUUAAACUCGGCGACAAAAGUGCAAACUGCAUAACACCACUAUCAAGAGUAAAACAAAAAAAGCAUUAUUCAUUAACAAAAUCCUACAGAUCAACUAGAUGGAAUCAAAAUCAAGACUUAGCCAAGUUAGAGUAACUGUUUGAGCGAACGGUCCAGAACUUUCGCGAACUCAGAACCUUCGCGCAUUCUAAUUUUAAAGGCGCUCCGAAAGUUCUGGAACCUUUUGGUUUCCAGACCUUUCGGAGCCCGCUAGUAUAUUUACCGUGGCGACAAACCGCUUGUAUUCAUUACCAACUGAUCGCUACGCAAGCAACAACAUUCUCGCAUUGUCUCGUUCUAUCGAACGUCGCACUUCGUUCCGCUACGGUCUAAGCAUCGAACCGACGCUUCGGCACAAAUACUUAAUCUUAUUUGUUAACAGGAUUUGUAAUCCAGACGACUACAAUCUACAUUGUGCGAUUCGCUAAAUUCGGUUUCUUACUCACUCACGUCCUACCCGAUCCGGCACCCGUUUUUCUUAUCACGGCGCACUUCAAGUUGGCGGAGAUCGUUCAACCAAAUCGCGUGAACAGUAACAAUCAACAAUAAAUAGGAGAAGAAGAAAGUAAAUCAUAGAAAACUGAUAAGUAUAAGUAUAACAGAAGUAAAUCAAAUGAAUGAGGCAAAGUAUAGCCAAAAACAUCGGAUUUUAAUACCAAAUAGGCACCAUGCAUUGGCACAAAAUAAACAAAGGAGAAGAAGAUCACCACAAAGGAAAAAGUGACAACCAGAAGAACGACUAGAAAUAAGAUGGAACUAGAUUAAAAUGCUGAACCAGCAGAAAACACCUCCUGAGCCACCAAGAUAAUACAGGUUAAGAAUUGAUUAAAACUUCUAUUACAUAUAACCAAACCACCUUGCAAUGAACAGAAAAUUUUACCAACCUAUCAUGAAAGAAUACCAUACCUCCACAAAAGAAGAUCUAGUUAAUAUCUAGUUAUAAGUCAAAUAAUUAGCUGAGGAUAGAUCCAAGAAGGAAAAACAAUAAAUAAUGGUAAGCAUAAUUGUUGGACCGACAAAUUAAUACGCGUGUUCAUACUUGGCGCGUUCUACGUCACCGCCGGAUUCUGCUAAGAAACAGGAAAGGGGGAGGCGCUGUGUGUCGCACCGUAGCGAGCGCUGCUAGCGCACUUUUGUUUUAUUAUUGUCUCUCGAUCGCUUUCGCCGGACAUGUGCGUC